rnacentral:rRNA from 1 species
CGAGCGGCGAACGGGUGAGUAACACGUGGGUGAUCUGCCUCGCACUUCGGGAUAAGCCUGGGAAACUGGGUCUAAUACCGGAUAUGACUUCUGGUCGCAUGGCUGGGGGUGGAAAGAUUUAUCGGUGCGAGAUGGGCCCGCGGCCUAUCAGCUUGUUGGUGGGGUAAUGGCCUACCAAGGCGACGACGGGUAGCCGGCCUGAGAGGGCGACCGGCCACACUGGGACUGAGACACGGCCCAGACUCCUACGGGAGGCAGCAGUGGGGAAUAUUGCACAAUGGGCGAAAGCCUGAUGCAGCGACGCCGCGUGAGGGAUGACGGCCUUCGGGUUGUAAACCUCUUUCGACAGGGACGAAGCGCAAGUGACGGUACCUGUAGAAGAAGCACCGGCCAACUACGUGCCAGCAGCCGCGGUAAUACGUAGGGUGCGAGCGUUGUCCGGAAUUACUGGGCGUAAAGAGCUUGUAGGCGGUUUGUCGCGUCGUCUGUGAAAACUCACAGCUCAACUGUGAGCUUGCAGGCGAUACGGGCAGACUUGAGUACUGCAGGGGAGACUGGAAUUCCUGGUGUAGCGGUGAAAUGCGCAGAUAUCAGGAGGAACACCGGUGGCGAAGGCGGGUCUCUGGGCAGUAACUGACGCUGAGAAGCGAAAGCGUGGGUAGCGAACAGGAUUAGAUACCCUGGUAGUCCACGCCGUAAACGGUGGGCGCUAGGUGUGGGUUUCCUUCCACGGGAUCCGUGCCGUAGCUAACGCAUUAAGCGCCCCGCCUGGGGAGUACGGCCGCAAGGCUAAAACUCAAAGGAAUUGACGGGGGCCCGCACAAGCGGCGGAGCAUGUGGAUUAAUUCGAUGCAACGCGAAGAACCUUACCUGGGUUUGACAUACACCGGAAACCUGCAGAGAUGUAGGCCCCCUUGUGGUCGGUGUACAGGUGGUGCAUGGCUGUCGUCAGCUCGUGUCGUGAGAUGUUGGGUUAAGUCCCGCAACGAGCGCAACCCUUGUCCUGUGUUGCCAGCGGAUUAUGCCGGGGACUCGCAGGAGACUGCCGGGGUCAACUCGGAGGAAGGUGGGGACGACGUCAAGUCAUCAUGCCCCUUAUGUCCAGGGCUUCACACAUGCUACAAUGGCCGGUACAGAGGGCUGCGAUACCGUGAGGUGGAGCGAAUCCCUUAAAGCCGGUCUCAGUUCGGAUCGGGGUCUGCAACUCGACCCCGUGAAGUUGGAGUCGCUAGUAAUCGCAGAUC